rnacentral:rRNA from 1 species
AGUGAACGCUGGCGGUAGGCCUAACACAUGCAAGUCGAACGGCAGCACAGAGGAGCUUGCUCCUUGGGUGGCGAGUGGCGGACGGGUGAGGAAUACAUCGGAAUCUACUCUGUCGUGGGGGAUGACGUAGGGAAACUUACGCUAAUACCGCAUACGACCUACGGGUGAAAGCAGGGGAUCUUCGGACCUUGCGCGAUUGAAUGAGCCGAUGUCGGAUUAGCUAGUUGGCGGGGUAAAGGCCCACCAAGGCGACGAUCCGUAGCUGGUCGGAGAGGAUGAUCAGCCACACUGGAACUGAGACACGGUCCAGACUCCUACGGGAGGCAGCAGUGGGGAAUAUUGGACAAUGGGCGCAAGCCUGAUCCAGCCAUACCGCGUGGGUGAAGAAGGCCUUCGGGUUGUAAAGCCCUUUUGUUGGGAAAGAAAUCCAUCUGGUUAAUACCCGGGUGGGAUGACGGUACCCAAAGAAUAAGCACCGGCUAACUUCGUGCCAGCCGCCGCGGUAA